UGUGUGCUGGAGGAUGAAAAUACGGAGUGAUCCAUCGGCCGAGUGUUUUAUCACAAUGCUGAAACUCACCUUGCUGACAGCACACG
rnacentral:snoRNA from 9 species